rnacentral:piRNA from 1 species
ACUUUAGCGGUUUAAAAAUAGACAUUUUU